rnacentral:rRNA from 1 species
CCUACGGGAUGCAGCAGUGGGGAAUAUUGCACAAUGGGGGAACCCCUGAUGCCGCGACGCCGCGUGAGUGACGAAGUCUUUCGGUAUGUAAAGCUCUAUCAGCAGGGAAGAAAAUGACGGUACCUGACUAAGAAGCCCCGGCUAACUACGUGCCAGCAGCCGCGGUAAUACGUAGGGGGCAAGCGUUAUCCGGCUUUACUGGGUGUAAAGGGAGCGUAGACGGCAGAGCAAGUCUGAAGUGAAAGCCCGCGGCUCAACUGCGGGCUUGCUUUGGAAACGGCGCGGCUAGAGUGCUGGAGAGGUAAGCGGAAUUCCUAGUGUAGCGGUGAAAUGCGUAGAUAUUAGGAGGAACACCAGUGGCGAAGGCGGCUUACUGGACAGUAACUGACGUUGAGGCUCGAAAGCGUGGGGAGCAAACAGGAUUAGAUACCCGAGUAGUC